UGACAUACAUGUUGGAGCAGGUCGGCAUUGCUUUUCCUGACACAGACAGCGACGUGAUAACAGCUGCUUGCAAGACUUAUUUUGAGUCUUUGAAAAGGAGCCAUCGUCUCGAUCAGCCAGAAAAUGCUCCCCAGAAAAAGAAAUUAAACAAUGCAAUGAAGACUAGACAACGGAAAACAAGGUUGCUGGCCUCCAGGGCUAGAUGUGUACAGACUCCCGCUGAAAUGGCUGUGUGGG